UAGAGGUACUUUUCUCUCUCU
rnacentral:siRNA from 1 species